rnacentral:rRNA from 2 species
AGACCCGAAACCCGGUGAUCUAGCCAUGGGCAGGUUGAAGGUUGGGUAACACUAACUGGAGGACCGAACCGACUAAUGUUGAAAAAUUAGCGGAUGACCUGUGGCUGGGGGUGAAAGGCCAAUCAAACCGGGAGAUAGCUGGUUCUCCCCGAAAGCUAUUUAGGUAGCGCCUCGUGAAUUCAUCUCCGGGGGUAGAGCACUGUUUCGGCUAGGGGGCCAUCCCGGCUUACCAACCCGAUGCAAACUGCGAAUACCGGAGAAUGUUAUCACGGGAGACACACGGCGGGUGCUAACGUCCGUCGUGAAGAGGGAAACAACCCAGACCGCCAGCUAAGGUCCCAAAGUCAUGGUUAAGUGGGAAACGAUGUGGGAAGGCCCAGACAGCCAGGAUGUUGGCUUAGAAGCAGCCAUCAUUUAAAGAAAGCGUAAUAGCUCACUGGUCGAGUCGGCCUGCGCGGAAGAUGUAACGGGGCUAAACCAUGCACCGAAGCUGCGGCAGCGACACUG